rnacentral:snRNA from 1 species
AGCUUUGCGCAGUGGCAGUAUCAUAGCCAGUGAGGUUUAUCAGAGGCACAAUUAUUGCUAAUUAAAAGUAAGGUCCCUCUUAUGAAAUACUGUAUAGGAAUAAGAAGAACCUUCAGCAUGUGAGAAG